rnacentral:rRNA from 1 species
AUGCCGCGUGAGUGAGUGAAGGUCUUAGGAUCGUAAAGCUCUUUCGCCAGGGAUGAUAAUGACAGUACCUGGUAAAGAAACCCCCGGCUAACUCCGUGCCAGCAGCCGCGGUAAUACGGAGGGGGUUAGCGUUGUUCGGAAGUUACUAGGGCGUAAAGCGCGCGUAGGCGGAUUGGAAAGUUAGGGGGUGGAAAUCCCAGGGCUCGAACCCUACGGAACUGCCUCCAAAACUACCCAGUCUUGAGUUCGAGAGAGGUGAGUGGGAACUCCGAGUGUAGAGGUGAAAUUACGUAGAUAUUCGGAAGAACACCAGUGGCGAAGGCGGCUCACUCGGCUCGAUACUGACGCUGAGGUGCGAAAGUGUGGGGAGCAAACAGGAUUAGAUACCCUGGUAG